rnacentral:rRNA from 1 species
AGUGAACGCUGGCGGCGUGCCUAAUACAUGCAAGUCGAACGAAGUGGCGCACGGGUGAGUAAUAUAUAGUUAAUCUGCCCUACACAGAGGAACAACAGUUGGAAACGGCUGCUAAUACCUCAUAGUGUAGUAUGAGACUAUAUCGUAUCAGCUAGUUGGUAAGGUAAUGGCUUACCAAGGCUAUGACGCGUAACUGGUCUGAGAGGAUGAUCAGUAACAGUGGAACUGAGACACUGUCCAAACUCCAACGGGAGGCAGCAGUAAGGAAUAUUGCGCAAUGGGGGAAACCCUGACGCAGCAACGCCGCGUGGAGUAUGACACUUUUCGGAGCGUAAACUCCUAUUAGUAGGAAAGCGGUACCUGAUGAAUAAGCACCGGCUAACUCCGUGCCAGCAGCCGCGGUAAUUC